UUGUUUUGCUAAAUUAAUCUUGCCAUUAAAGACAAAACAUUACCAUCAAGGGGCUUGUCACAUAAACUGUCCCACCUAGUUUAAACACAACAAAACUCUCUUUGAAAAAUCAGUAAGUACUACCAGAUGCUAUUGAAGGGUCAAGACAUCACCACUAGCUUACUCGGUCAAUCAGUUCAUUUCCCAACAAUAAAAACAUAUGAGCAGUUAACCUUCCUGCAGCAUCUCACACUAUUUUACAACACCAUCAACAAAAGUGGUGUAAUGAAUUUGCUUGUCACUAGCUCCUCAUUCUCCUCCCUUAGGCUGCUGCAUCCCACCUCGUGACAGCACUGCCUCUGUGACUGCACUUUCAUUUGGCAAUGGAGUGUUUGGCAGGUUCAGUACAUUUGGGAAAUCCACAGAGGCACCAGUGAUUGAGUGCCAAUGCCACGCUAAAAACCCCUGGAUUGGAGCGAUGGCUGAUGGGUCUUGAAUCUAAAGCAUGCUGUGGAUGGGAGGGGGUUGCAGGGGCUCCUAAAAGCCCAUCUUCAUCAUCCCUAUGAAGUGCGUGGGUCAUAAGUGCAUAGGACAGUUAAUAAUUAACAAAUUGCCCUUCUAAGGGUUUUUUUUCCUUCAAGACAGAAUUGGCAAUGAGGAUGGAAUGGGAAGUGGUCCUUGCAUAUGGUUAAAAGACCUUCAUGAAUAUACAACGAAGGAUGAAGGGGAAUGCUCAUUUCUAAGUGAAUGAGGAAGUGACUUUGGAAGCACCAUAUAGGAUUAACCCUCUCCUCCUCUGUGCUGUCACGGCAACACAUGAUGAGUUCUCUGCUCUGACCACUAAGGCCUGUCAAUACACCAUCACAAUGCAAAUGCACACUGUAGCAGAAAAGCGACAUCUAGUGAAAUUCUUCUUUACACCAGCAUAAACUUGAGAUGUGUAUCUAUCCCUCUCAGAUGAUUUGAUGUGUAACGAGACACAUGGUCCACAAUCCUAUACAAAAAUGAUACAGGAACAUAAUGAUACACCGUGAUUCAGUGCCAAUUUCAUACAAUUGAGUUGUGAUAAGUUUUGAUGGUGUGAUCAUUUUUUAUCUCAAAUAAUGCUCUGUACUGGCUAAAUACAAAUCAGAAAUAAACCAGAUACAUUUUUAACAAUACGAUUCGAAGGUGAUUUGAUACGAUGCGAUUCAGCUGUGAUUUAAUUUUGCUAUUAUGUUUUUAUUUGUUCAUUAAUGACAUUUGGUAUAACUAAAUUAAACAAGACACGUAAGUAUUGCAUCCAUUUUACCACUGAUUUGGGAUUAGUGUUAGUUGCUAACACAUGCAUUAUUUGUUUUUUUUCUGUCAAAGCAUCCCCUUUCAAAUUAGCAGUGAAGUUGAUACACCAGAUUAGUAUCUAUCCAACAAAAACUCAAUGCUAUAACCUUCAUGAAGGUUAGUUACUGCGGGGCUAUUUUAUUAGAUUCCAUUAGUUUUAGCUAGGUGUACUGGUUAAACUGGCAACUGAGUACAUUUUAUUAUUAUUGAGCGUUUUGUAAAAUGCUAAUGCAAAAAUAUUGGACAGCGAUAAGGUCUAACAUUUGCUUCAGUGUUGGAUUUCUUUCAGGAAGUUGGGGAACAUAGCUAGCUAGCAGGAGAAGGGCAUGUGGAUCAAACUAACAGACAUAUACUAGGUUACACGGAAAUAUAGUUUUUUGACAUGUAUUAGUUUUUGACAACUGUGGUUGCGUCAAUGUAUAGCCGAUAUGAUAGAUAAUAUGUCGAGUUUGUUGUUUUUUUCCAUAAGCGCAUUUCUCUUAUGUCUUUCCGUCUGUGUGGCAUGUUCCUUAUGAUCAUUCAUACUGCUUCCUGUCUUACUUUGUAAGUGUUCUUCUUUGGGUGUUUUGUGCUGCUUUUACUUCUUGUCCUUGUGUUUCUAGGUUGAUUGUUUGCACCACCCUAUGUGUUUUGCCUGUUUUGUUAUCUUUAGCUGUUUAACCCUCUGCCUCACUAUGUCUAGUUUGUUGUUUCUCCAGUGUUUGUAGUGUCUCGUGUUUACUCGUGCCUCUCUUGCUGUGUGGAUUAUGCCUUCUGUUGGACAUUUGGAUUGCUCACCUCUUCUCGUUGUGGACUACUGUGUUUUGGUUUUCAGACUACAAACUACCAUCACCUGUUAGUGUCAACCAUUUGUUACAUAAAGACUUGCUAUACCUUA